rnacentral:rRNA from 1 species
AGCGGCGAACGGGUGAGGAACACGUGAAGAAUCUGCCUUCAACUCUGGGAUAACUCCGGGAAACCGGGGCUAAUACCGGAUAUGAGCCUUGAUCGCAUGAUCGGGGCUGGAAAGUUUUUCGGUUGAAGAUGACUUCGCGGCCUAUCAGCUUGUUGGUGAGGUAAUGGCUCACCAAGGCGACGACGGGUAGCCGGCCUGAGAGGGCGACCGGCCACACUGGGACUGAGACACGGCCCAGACUCCUACGGGAGGCAGCAGUGGGGAAUAUUGGGCAAUGGAGGAAACUCUGACCCAGCGACGCCGCGUGAGGGAUGAAGGCCUUCGGGUUGUAAACCUCUUUCAGUAGGGAAGAAGCGAAAGUGACGGUACCUACAGAAGAAGCACCGGCUAACUAUGUGCCAGCAGCCGCGGUAAUACAUAGGGUGCAAGCGUUGUCCGGAAUUAUUGGGCGUAAAGAGCUCGUAGGUGGUUCGAUACGUCGGAUGUGAAAAUCAGGGGCUCAACCCCUGACCUGCAUCCGAUACGGUCGAGCUAGAGUUUGGUAGGGGAGACUGGAAUUCCUGGUGUAGCGGUGGAAUGCGCAGAUAUCAGGAGGAACACCGAUGGCGAAGGCAGGUCUCUGGGCCAAUACUGACACUGAGGAGCGAAAGCGUGGGGAGCGAACAGGAUUAGAUACCCUGGUAGUCCACGCCGUAAACGG